ACGAACGCUGGCGGCGCGCUUAACACAUGCAAGUCGAACGGAAAGGCCUGCUUUCCCUUGUGGAUUGCGGGUACUCGAGUGGCGAACGGGUGAGUAGCACGUGAGUGAUCUGCCCCCAACUUGGGUAUAAGCCUGGGAAACUGGGUCUAAUUCCCGAUAGGACUGCAGGGUGGUGCCUGUGGUGGAAAACGAUUUUCUAGUGGUUGGGGAUGAGCUCGCGGCCUAUCAGCUUGUUGGUGGGGUAAUGGCCUACCAAGGCGGCGACGGGUAGCCGGCCUGAGAGGGUGGACGGCCACAUUGGGACUGAGAUACGGCCCAGACUCCUACGGGAGGCAGCAGUGGGGAAUAUUGCACAAUGGGCGGAAGCCUGAUGCAGCGACGCCGAGUGGGGGAUGACGGCCUUCGGGUUGUAAACUCCUUUCGACCGCGAGGAAGCCACCUGGUUGGAAGGGUGGUGACGGUAGUGGUAGAAGAAGCACCGGCUAACUACGUG
rnacentral:rRNA from 1 species